rnacentral:rRNA from 1 species
ACGAACGCUGGCGGCGUGCUUAACACAUGCAAGUCGCACGGUGAAGCGAGUGCUUGCACUCGUGGAUCAGUGGCGAACGGGUGAGUAACACGUGAGUAACCUGCCCAUCACUCUGGGAUAAGCACUGGAAACGGUGUCUAAUACUGGAUACGACCAACCCUUGCAUGGGGUGUUGGUGGAAAGAUUUAUCGGUGAUGGAUGGACUCGCGGCCUAUCAGCUUGUUGGCGGGGUAAUGGCCCACCAAGGCGACGACGGGUAGCCGGCCUGAGGGGGUGACCGGCCACACUGGGACUGAGACACGGCCCAGACUCCUACGGGAGGCAGCAGUGGGGAAUAUUGCACAAUGGGCGAAAGCCUGAUGCAGCGACGCCGCGUGAGGGAUGACGGCCUUCGGGUUGUAAACCUCUUUCAGCAGGGAAGAAGCGAAAGUGACGGUACCUGCAGAAGAAGCACCGGCUAACUACGUG